UAUAUUUAAGUAUAAGGUGUACGCAAGUUUUUGAUACUUGAGGAGGUAGUUUGAAUCUAUCAAAUAUAA
rnacentral:tRNA from 1 species